rnacentral:lncRNA from 1 species
ACCCAUUCUUGAUUUGCAGCAGGCCAGUGGACAGAAAUAUUUGAGCCGACAUUCUGUUCCUGAAAAUAAGAUUAAACUCAUUUUAGGAGUUGGAUGAAUAUAUGUGGUAGCGUCAAUAUAUAUAAAUUGGUAAUAAUAAACAUAUCUCAUCAGCAAACCAGUAAGUGUAUACCGUUAAGCUAAAAGAAAAUCUACAUGUACUCCCUCUGUUCAUAUAUGCAAAAUGCACGAAAUGAUAUUACAGUUAGCUCUCUAUGAUUUAAUUGGGCUGGCUGACAACCAUAUUAAACUCCCAGUGGCUUUAUACUAAUUUUACAAUGAACAUACGGAGAAACACCAUGGAAUAAAAAAUGAAGCUAGACAGUUGAAACAUGUGGCAUGGUGCAUGACUUCAAAAUGGAAGCUAGACAGUUCAAAAAAAAUAUAAAAAGAGAAACUAGCAGUCGGUUCAUCUUAAAAGAAUUGGCUGCAUCGAUGUACAUUUAGGAGUAUGGAUAGGGAUGUCCAGAAUUGGUGAGGUGGUCAACAUACAAUGGAAUAGAUUACCAGACUAUUAGAGACAACAAAUAAUGCUACUGGUAAUAUUAGUUAUCUGAAUAUACACAAAAGAAGAACCAAAAAUUAGCACAAGCAGUAGCCAAUGGUUUCACUUCAGAACUUGGAAUAAAAAAUCUAAUCAAAAUGAUGAAGGCAGUUGAUGAUAAAUGUAUCACUUACACAAGCUCAAUUAGAGGCCUCACAACGCAUAACUCAGUAAGCACUCGAUCCAUUUCUCCCAAUUAAUUUCACCUAGAGUGCU